rnacentral:rRNA from 1 species
UUGGCGGACGGGUGAGUAACACGUGAGUAACCUACCUUUCAAAGGGGGAUAACGUCUGGAAACGGACGCUAAUACCGCAUAAUACUAUUUGAGGGCAUCCUUGGAUAGUCAAAGGAGGAAUCCGAUGGGAGAUGGACUCGCGGCUGAUUAGAUAGUUGGCGGGGUAGAGGCCCACCAAGUCGACGAUCAGUAGCCGGACUGAGAGGUUGAACGGCCACAUUGGGACUGAGACACGGCCCAGACUCCUACGGAAGGCAGCAG